rnacentral:piRNA from 1 species
AAGUCACAGCUGGUUUGUACCAAG